CGCUGCAGUCCCAAACUCUCCUGUGACCGAAUCCACGGCUCUGAGCUGCAGCCACAACAUUUACAGUCACAACAAGAUGGAGCAAAGAGUCUCCUGGCAGCAACGAGCUGGAAUGUACUCCUCUACAUUGGCCAUAACGGUGGAUCCGUGGGUCACCUGAAGGGCGAAGGACUCCGUCUUCACCACUCUCUUCAGGAUCACGAAGCCGUCGGGAGUCACGUUGACGUAGCUGCUGUACUGAACCUCAUACUUCAUGUCCGGGUUCAGACCCUGACACCAAAAACACCAAACAAAGGCAUUUAUUAUCCAUGAAACAUCAGGAUUUAACUAGACUGUAAAUUUAAUUUGUGGGCAAGAAGGAUCUCCUGUAGCAGUCUGUAUCACCGUGGUUUUGAGAAAGCCUCUGACUGAAGACACUAUACACUGCAUCACUCUCUCCUGUAUCACUUUCUUUUUUAAGAGUUUAUCAAAUUGUGUCAAUUUAUAAAAAUGGAAUAAACAACAAAUAAAGCUAAAAUAAAACUAGCUACA